AAAAAAACGAUAAGAAAGAGAAAGAGGAGGAGGGAAGAAGCAAUUGUCCCCGCGGGAGCAGACGGUCUGUCUUCAUCGCCAACCAACCAACAAUCAUCAUCGUCGUCAGAUUCAUCACUCUUUUGAUUCAAAGUUUCAAUCUUUCUUCUUUCUUUUUUGUUUUUUGGUUUUCAGCCAUGGAGGUACCAACUACUUCAUGGGAUUCCCUUCGCAAACAGGUUGGAGAUGGCAAGAGUUCAAGCAGGAUGGAGAACGAAAGUGAAUGGCAAGUGAAGAGGAAAUCUUGUGUCUAAAUACUACCUCUUUUGACAUAAAAUAUUCAUAUACAUGGUAGGUUUGUAACCUAUAUUGUAGCUUUGUAGGUAUUAUAUGAGGAAGGCUUAUUUAGCAAGUGGAUGAAAAAAAGACAACCAUUGCAAGUGGAUGUUAAUUAAUUUGAAAAAUGCCCAAUGCGGGAAACCUACCAUAUCAUUUUACAUACAAAAACAAGAAUAUUAUAAUUUAUUUGUGUUUGAACAGUGGUAUUUUGAGAUGACUGUUGUUAAGAUUAUUGAUUUACUAGAGUUGCAAUGAAAAGCAUGCAAUUCUAGUUUUUUGACUCUCAAUAGACUUUUACAAUCUUCAAGCAUGCAAUUCAUGUAACAUUUUUUAAUAUAGUUUUCUUGGAUGCCGAGUCCCGGUGUAAUU
rnacentral:lncRNA from 1 species